rnacentral:lncRNA from 1 species
CUACCAAUUUAGUUCCUAUACUUCUAAAUCUUAUAUUUAAAGGAGUGCGUCUGGUAUGCUUCUGGAAGCACGGAACGCUCCGUGCUUCCAAGUUGUUUUUGAUAUUCGGACUUUCAAAUCGACGAUCGGCUCCGUUAAACUAGAUCUAAAAUAUUUGAAGUAUUUAGAAAAUAAAUUUUGCGAUUUUUCGAUAUCAUUUGCCUAGUAAUCGAAGUGGCUCAAUUAAAAUCAAUGGCUGAAAAUAAAAAUCUUACAAAAUAUGAUGAUAUGACAUUAAAAUUUUAGAUCAAAGUUAUUGAUCUUAUUUUAUAUGGUAUAAAGAAUUUUCUAUCAAAAUUUCAUAUGAUUUGAAUAUUUCUACACCGUUAAACUUGCAAACGGCUCACCACGGCUAUUAAAAUUAUUGAUUUUGAGCCCCUUCGAUCACUAGGCAAAUGAUAUCGAAAAAUCACAAAAUUUAUUUUCUAGAUACUUCAAAUACUCUAGAUCAACUCUAACGGAGCCGAUCGUCGAUUCGAAAGUCCGAACAUCGAAAACAAAUUGGAAGCACGGAGGGCUCCGUGCUUUCAGAAGCAUACCAGCCCACUCUAUUUAAAGAUCCAUAUUAUACUAAGAACUAAUUAAUUAAUUAAUUACACUUUAAGU